GACGAACCGUGCAAACGUUGUUCGGAAUCACUGGGCAUAAAGGGCGCGUAGGCGGGCCGUCAAGUCAGGGGUGAAAUCCCCCAGCUCAACUGGGGAACUGCCCUUGAUACUGACGGUCUUGAGUGAGGUAGGGGUGUGCGGAACUGAUGGUGGAGCGGUGAAAUGUGUUGAUAUCAUCAGGAACUCCGGUGGCGAAGGCGGCACACUGGACCUUGACUGACGCUGAGGCGCGAAAGCUAGGGGAGCAAACGGG
rnacentral:rRNA from 1 species